rnacentral:rRNA from 1 species
GAUGAACGCCGGCGGCGUGCCUAAUACAUGCAAGUCGAGCGAACAGACGAGGAGCUUGCUCCUCUGACGUUAGCGGCGGACGGGUGAGUAACACGUGGAUAACCUACCUAUAAGACUGGGAUAACUUCGGGAAACCGGAGCUAAUACCGGAUAAUAUAUUGAACCGCAUGGUUCAAUAGUGAAAGACGGUUUUGCUGUCACUUAUAGAUGGAUCCGCGCCGCAUUAGCUAGUUGGUAAGGUAACGGCUUACCAAGGCAACGAUGCGUAGCCGACCUGAGAGGCGGAGCGGCCACACUGGAACGGAGACGCGAUCCAGACUCCUGCGGGAGGCAGCAGUAGGGAAUCUUCCGCAAUGGGCGAAAGCCUGACGGAGGAACGCCGCGUGAGUGAUGAAGGUCUUCGGAUCGUAAAACUCUGUUAUUAGGGAGGAACAAAUGUGUAAGUAACUAUGCACGUCUUGACGGGACCUAAUCAGAAAGCCACGGCUAACUACGUG